UCUCCCAUCGAUACGCUUCUCGGCCGCCGCCACAGCGCCACCCCCAGCUCCCACUACGCCGCUCCCUCCACCGGCGCCACAUCUCCUCCAUCCGCUGGUCGUCGCGCCGUACCCCGCACGCUGCCGCCCACGCCUCCUCACUCCUUCGUCGGCCCUUCUGCACCGAUUGUGCCGGACAAUGUCGUCGCCGCUUCGUCGAGGGACCACGCCCCGAUUUGUCGGCGAGCAAUAUUGGAUGAUUAGCGGCGGCUACCAACACCAUGGCGCAGUCAGGGCAGCUCUCGGGCAACAGUGGAUCGGGCUCGGUUAGAAACUUUUAAUUUACUUGGAUGUGCUUCAUGCUCGGGCAGUAUAAUAGUCUAAACUGCAUUGUGUAACAAGUUCCACCUGCGUGCACAGGGUAUCUUCAAGGUUCAUGCUCUGAAUAUAAAUAAGAUUGACCAAGACAGCGAAUUGAUUGUAAAGAACGCGGAGAAAUUGGCUUCUGUUGCUUAUCUUAAACACUAUAUGGAUUAGAAGCUCUCGACCAUUCCUGAUCGAGAUUAGCCUUUGGAUGAUCCAAAACACCAUCCAGGAUGAUGGGCGAGUACAUCCCUGUUGCUUCAAUCUUGCAGUUCGUAAGCCUGCUUGCGCCGAAGUAGAGAGGAAUGCAAGCACUGGCUUUCUUGGAAGCAGGCACUUUUCCAUGCUCAAGCAUGAGCCCUAAGGCAGUCUUGGAUGUAACAAGAAAACCGCACCACGACGCUGGUUGGCCAUGUCAUAGGCCUUUUCCGUAAUCCGACGCGUUCAACUCUACAAUUGUAAGCGAUUCUCAUUCUUAAAAUUAGUUUGUUUAUUAUGUUAGCCAUGAACAUGUGUCUACCCAUAUCUAUUGACAAGAGCAGGACUAUGCUGAUUCAUACGUCCAUCAACCCAUAACAAACCGAGGAAGCCCUAUUGCUGAAGCAAAAUUUUAGCAAUGUGUUGCAAGCGAGGAACCCUGGUUGGAGUGCCCAAUUCAUGGAUUGGCCAGAAGACAACAUUUUAAUUACAGACCCAUGACCCUGGAUUCAAAUUCCUACAGAAAAUGGACCAUCAGUAUGGUACUCUCAGGCAUGACAUGUUUAGAACUGACGUAAGUAUAUCUAUAGUGAGUUUUGGUGUGCCAUAUAUUUGCUAAAUAUAUGUACUGAGUUCGGCAGAGUCAUCUCAUAUUACUGGUAUGAGAGCAUUGCACAUGCUCCAUCGAAUAACUAUUUAUUAGUAAUUUCGAACUACAAUCGCCUAAUGUAAGGACUCUUUUUUUUGUACCUCUAGAAAUAUUUUAGUUGUGAUCUGAAAAUUUGUAUCCUUUAUCAAGCACAAGAUCAAUGGGUACAACUUUUAGAAGUACAUUUGUUUAGUGUUACCUAAGAGAUGUUUUUGGUUCAUAAGAUAUUGCUUUUUCUUGACUAUUUAACUUAGUUUCUGAAUGGGCACUUUUCUCUUCAAAUAAAACAUAUCAUUUUACUUAUUUGAUUAAUGUUUAUUUAGUUGUAUAAACAAAGCACUCGUGUUGUUGAUUGUUAUAGGUGACAUACUAAUUGGAACCUUAGUCAUAGUCAUGGUUGGAACUUCUUUUCUUAGGAUUUUCUUUGAUUGACAUAUUAUUUGUCGGGGUUGAUUAUUGAUUAUAUCUGUGUAAUGUGUAACUUAUCAUGUUCCUAACAACACCCUCCGUCCCAAAAUUCUUCUCUUAGAUUUGUCUAGAUACGGAUGUAUCUAAUACUAAAACGUAACUAGAUACAUCCGUAUUUAGACAAAUCUAAGACAAGAAUUUUGGGACAGAGGGAGUAUUAUUCAAUGCAAACAGUUGUUCAAGAGGAACCUGUCUGGAACUUUGGCACCAUCUGCAGUCCUUUCUCCCAGUUGAAAACACUCCAAGAGUUGAUAAUUAAUGGAAUUUGUUGUGCCCAAAGGUAAAACCAGAGAGUAUUAGAAACAUCAUCGACAUGAAAGCAAACUUUGGAUCAUGUGCGAACAUGGAGAGAGGAAGAUCGAUGAGACCUUGAAGAAUCAUGUGGUUGACAUUUCAACUUCGGAUAGAAGGUUUUCCGCAUUAUGUUGGUUGGCUUUCAUUAAGAUCAAUGAGUCAUCCGCAAAGAGAAGAUUUGUGACCGGUGGGGCGUCUCUACAGACUUUUACUCCUGAUAUGUUUCCAUUCUUCUCAGCAUGCACAAGCAAGGCAUUCAAUUCUUAUGUGCACAGCAAAAAAAGGAAUCAUCACGAUCGCCGUAUCAUUCCAACCCUCCGGUAUAGUGCAUGUGUUGAUUGCUGUCAGAACAUCCUCCCAGCAUGGGCCAAAACCUUUUAUAGAAGAUAGCAUGGAGUCCAUCUGGCCCUGGAGCUUUCAAGUCCCCAAUAUCAAAUAAAGCCUUGCGAACAUCUUCCGCGGUAUAAGGGGCAAGUAGAACAUCAUUCAUUUCGUUUGACACUCUCCUUUGAACAAGUGAUAAAACAUCUUGAUUCGGGUGUUGAACUUCCGAUGUAAAAAGCUUUGUA